AGCGAACGCUGGCGGCAGGCCUAACACAUGCAAGUCGAACGAACCUUUCGGGGUUAGUGGCGGACGGGUGAGUAACACGUGGGAACGUGCCUUUAGGUUCGGAAUAACUCAGGGAAACUUGUGCUAAUACCGAAUGUGCCCUUCGGGGGAAAGAUUAAUCGCCUUUAGAGCGGCCCGCGUCUGAUUAGUUAGUUGGUUGAGGUAAUGGCUCACCAAGGCGACGAUCAGUAGCUGGUCUGAGAGGAUGAUCAGCCACAUUGGGACUGAGACACGGCCCAAACUCCUACGGGAGGCAGCAGUGGGGAAUCUUGCGCAAUGGGCGAAAGCCUGACGCAGCCAUGCCGCGUGAAUGAUGAAGGUCUUAGGAUUGUAAAAUUCUUUCACCGGGGACGAUAAUGACGGUACCCGGAGAAGAAGCCCCGGCUAACUUCGUG
rnacentral:rRNA from 1 species